rnacentral:rRNA from 1 species
AUUGAACGCUGGCGGCAGGCCUAACACAUGCAAGUCGAGCGGAUGAAGGGAGCUUGCUCCUGGAUUCAGCGGCGGACGGGUGAGUAAUGCCUAGGAAUCUGCCUGGUAGUGGGGGAUAACGUCCGGAAACGGGCGCUAAUACCGCAUACGUCCUGAGGGAGAAGGUGGGGGAUCUUCGGACCUCACGCUAUCAGAUGAGCCUAGGUCGGAUUAGCUAGUUGGUGGGGUAAAGGCCUACCAAGGCGACGAUCCGUAACUGGUCUGAGAGGAUGAUCAGUCACACUGGAACUGGGACACGGUCCAGACUCCUACGGGAGGCAGCAGUGGGGAAUAUUGGACAAUGGGCGAAAGCCUGAUCCAGCCAUGCCGCGUGUGUGAAGAAGGUCUUCGGAUUGUAAAGCACUUUAAGUUGGGAGGAAGGGCAGUAAGUUAAUACCUUGCUGUUUUGACGUUACCAACAGAAUAAGCACCGGCUAACUUCGUG